UACGUAGGGGGCAAGCGUUGUCCGGAAUUAUUGGGCGUAAAGAGCGCGUAGGCGGUCCGAUAAGUCGGCUGUGAAAGUCAGGGGCUCAACCCUUGAAAGCCGGCCGAUACUGUCGGACUAGAGUCCGGAAGAGGCAAGUGGAAUUCCCGGUGUAGCGGUGAAAUGCGUAGAUAUCGAGAGGAACACCUGCGGCGAAGGCGGGUUGCUGGGCUGAUACUGACGCUGAGGCGCGAAAGCCAGGGGAGCGAACGGG
rnacentral:rRNA from 1 species